AAGAGAUCACACGGCGAGAGACUGAAAGAAAAGCAGCAAAGCCCUGGGUAAUCAAGGCCCUAAACGGAAAGUGUCAGGAUCUUGGGAUUAGGGGACUUGUCCAAAGUUACUCAACUAUGAAGAGUCAAGAUUCAAAUCCAGAGACAUCUGACUUCAUUUCCCUUCAUUAACAACCAUCUAAGGAAGUUCCUAUUACUUUGGGAACUCCUAGUAGCAGGUGGUUAAAAAAAACUCCUGGACAACAUACUAUGCUAUUUGAAUCAUCCUACUUCUUACGCGUUCCUCCAGGAUGCACUCUUCUCCCAUUCUGAAACUGACAGUUCUCUUUACAAACUGUGUAUGUUUCAUUCCUGGAUUGCAUCUGAGCUGCCGCCAUGGAACGGGCAUUGAGUUUUAGCGUGUGUGAUGUCCCAUGUGUUCAUUUUGUCUCCCCACACUAUAAACUUGAGAGGCAAGGCCAACUCUUUUAUGUCUUCAAAUGCUUUGCUGCCAAACACAGGAUUGGAAAUGGCCAACAAAGACUAAAAUGCUACUUCUCUACCCUUUUCACUAUGCCAUCUACUGGAAAUUUAAGCAAGACUUGCAGAGAUCACUUCAGGUUAUCUGUUCCCCUGCAAGAAACACUUGUGGUUUGGCCUGAAAUAGUUUUCUGCUGAUUCUUUCUCUACAGCCCUGAACCCUAAAAACAAAUGAAAUGCAUCAACACAAUACUAAAUGCCUACAUAUUAUUACUAUUAUGUCUUUAAAAAAAGAGUGAAAGCUUUUUCAUGUUUGCUUUAAAUCAACCAUGUAGAAACUGGAGGGACCAGUGAAGAGGAAUAGAGGGAAUGAACUCAAAUGCUCUAACUUGCAAUAGGACAGUUGGGUUCUUACUUUGACUCACCUGACCUUUACAACCAUUAGCCAGCUCACAUGAUGCCCAAACAAGUUGCUGAGCCUCCUGCCCAUCCUCUGUAUAUAUCCCUGGUUUCCUGUCUCAAGCUUUAGGCUAAUCUCCAUCAACACUGACCUCACAUGAAUACUAAAUGCAGAUGUCUGACCUCAUAUUUCUCUGCCAGUCAGAUCCCUGGCCUCUUUACUACAGACCUUAAGGACCAGUUCUCAAACUCAUCUCAUUGGCAUCUUUUCACAUCACGAAAUCUAUCUGGUCAGGAUUUGAAUAAAACUGUAUUUUUACUUUAAUACAAAAGAGUCAACAUGGGCAGUGACUAAAUAAAGGGGGUGGGGACAGAGUUAACACGAGCCACCUAUGCUGUUACAUAUAUAUAUAUCCCGAUUAAUUUCAGUUGGUGAAGAGGAAGACCCUCGGGCACAGAUUUCAACACUGUGCUGGACUCAGACCCAAAAUCCUUUGACUUAUUUUUAUUUUUUGGGAUGAGGUCUCGCUAUGUUGCCCAGGCUGGAGUACAGUGGCUAUUCAUAGGCACUAUCAUAGUGCAGGGUAGCCUUGAACUCCUGGCCUCAUGAUCCUCCCACCUCAGCCUCCCUAGUGGCUGGUAGCUGGGACUACAGACACAACCAGCCCUCUGACUUAUUUUUACUACUCUGCUGUGAAACUCACCCGAUCUUUACUUUGGCCUUCAUUAUUGAGGCUUCCUUAAAGCAGUGGUUCUCAAAGUACCAGGUCCUGAUCAGCAGCAUCAGCAUCAAUUUGUUAAAAAUACAAAUGCUCUAUGGGGCCCUACCUCAGACUUACUGAAUCAAAACUCCUUAGUCAAGACUUAACUGCUGGUAAGUGACUGAGUUUUUGGUCAAAGGCAUUUCCUUUUAGCACUUGUUCUCUGGGUCCUGAUUUUUCUUUACUUAUUUCAACAGAAUGACCUUUCCCAUUGUAUUCCAUCAGAGAGUGCUAAUUAGAAGCAAAACCACAGCUUAAUUGUCUUUUUUUUUUUUUAACUUCGCAUUCCCAAGUUACACCGUCAUUUUCUUUUUGUGACUAUGCCCUUGAAAAUCUAGGGCAAUAGGUCUGCUCAGUGUUGUUGAUUUUCUUAUCCACAAGACUGGUUUCACUUUAUUAGAACUUUCUAGUUCCAAAAUUAGGCUAUCCUGCUAACUUCCUUCCCACUUGAGUGUUCCACUACAUACAUUCCACAGCCCUUUACACUUGGAAAUACUUUCACACAUUGGCUUGCAGGCUAGAUAGAUUGUCCACCUUUUAUCUGUAAAAGGUAAAACAGAAACUCAGUGAGAUUAAAGCCAUAGCUAUAAAGUAGUGAAGUUUAAAGUUCUGGUACCUACUUCAGUCCCUGACUCAUAACAAGCGCUCAAUAUAUUUAACAAGUAUGUGAAUGACCAUGGAAGCCAGAUCUUUGACUUCUAGGCUGGUUUUCUUUCUCUUUUUUUUUUGAGAUGGAGUCUCGCUCUGUUACCCAGGCUGGAGUGCAGUGGCACGAUCUCGGCUCACUGCAACCUCCGCCUCCCAGGUUCAGGCAAUUCUCCUGCCUCAGCCUCCCAAGCAGCUGGGAUUACAGGUGCACGCCACCAUGCCCAGCUAACUUUUGUAUUUCUAGUAGAAACGGGGUUUCACCAUGUUGGCCAGGCUGGUCUCGAAAUCCUGACCUCAAGUGAUCCGCCUGCCUUGGCCUCCCAAAGUGCUGGGAUUACAGGCAUGAGCCACUGCACCCAGUUUCUGGCUGGUCCUUUCUAUCUCUAGAUCACACAAUCUCUCAUGUUACAUAGUUGUGGGAAUAGACAAGUCUAGCUCCAAAAAGCGUUAAUAAUCUUGUCCCAUUUAUUUUCCUAG
rnacentral:lncRNA from 1 species